CUGUUGCUCUCUGUCCGCCAUGCACUUCUUCGAUCUUCCCACAAAUGUGGCCACUACUGCUUAGCAACCAGGGGAACAUGACAGCAGACAGCAAAAUCCUCUCCCCAUAGCUCACCCUGUUCCAUCUCCACAUCAUAAAGUAUCUUUCAUAGCCAAUUAAGAGGAAUGCAUGUUGCGUGGCCACAGAGAGACUGAGUGGGACCUCAGGGGUGGCAUGGGCUGAGCUGGAGUCUCUGCUAGGUGCAUGCAUGGAGAGCAAAUUCAACAAACUGAUGACUGAAAGACCCCGAUAUAUGUGGGUAUAACAGCUCCCCAAAGGCUUAUGGCAACUAAUAUUUGAAAAGAACAGGGAAAAGGAGGAGAAAAAAGGGAGAGAAGGGAAGGAAGAGAAAGAAAGAAGAAAAGAAAGAGCUGAAUAUCAAGGCGAUGGGGAACAGAAGAGCUUUAUGCCGCGGCAUAAAGCCCUCAGCACUCCAGCCGCCCAAACCGCCAAGACCGGAGGGGAGGGCCAAGAGAUCGCGAGCAGCACCAAGAGAGCAAAGUCCAGACGAAACCCCGCUAAGCAGCCGGGAAAGCAGCUACUCACUCACUUCUCCCAUGCCACAGCAGUCCUUGUUAAUGCCAGUCAUGAAAUACUGCUGUCUAAGGAGCUGCUUCACUGGUGCCUCUGCAGUAAGCCAAGAUCAGCAUCAUUCCCAAUGCUUACAAACAGUCAUCGCAGAGACUGCAGCAAGCCUUGCGCAAAGUCAGCUGCUCUACAGAGCCAAAGAAGUCCCUGCUACAGAACCUUCCUCAUCCCCUGAGCAACGGGAUUGAAACAUUGUCCUCGAGAGCUAAGGGUGAGAAGCACAGUCGAAAACUGAGCAGACAGAAGAAAGCAGUCAAGUUCAGUCCUUGAUGCAGAGGAAAAGAGAUUCAUUUCUACAUGGCACUCAAUAGCAU
ensembl:lncRNA